rnacentral:rRNA from 1 species
AUCUUCGGCAAUGGGGGAAACCCUGACCGAGCGACGCCGCGUGCGGGAUGAAGGCCUUCGGGUUGUAAACCGCUGUCGUAGAGGAGGAAAUGCAGGGGGGUUCUCCCCUUUGUUUGACCUAUUCUAGGAGGAAGUACGGGCUAAGUUCGUGCCAGCAGCCGCGGUAAGACGAACCGUACAAACGUUACUCGGAAUUACUGGGCUUAAAGGGUGCGUAGGCUGCGCGGAAAGUCGGGUGUGAAAGCCCUCAGCUCAACUGGGGAAUUGCACUCGAAACUACCGUGCUCGAGGGAGACAGAGGUAAGCGGAACUCAAGGUGGAGCGGUGAAAUGCGUUGAUAUCUUGAGGAACACCGGUGGCGAAGGCGGCUUACUGGGUCUUUCCUGACGCUGAGGCACGAAAGCUAAGGUAGCAAACGGGAUUAGAUACCCCGGUAGUCUUAGCUGUAAACGAUGAGCACUUGUUUGAAGGGUCCUCCAUAGCCUUUCGGACGUAGCGAAAGUGUUAAGUGCUCCGCCUGGGGAGUAUGGUCGCAAGGCUGAAACUCAAAGAAA